CCACAACAGAGUUCAGCUGAGAGGUCGGGUUAAAGAAAGUGUGGAAUUGGAGACAGCGGGGUAGAAGAACCAAUGAGUACGGCGAAGAGAGAACCAACGGAGAAAGAUUUCAGUGAGCGCGGGAAGAGAAGCAACAGUGUCCGAUCCCGGUUCCCAAUAAGACACUGCAAAGGAAUGCACUGAGUGUAUAAGGCUCCUUUGAGGUUCAAAAAAUAGAGAAAGAAAAAGCGUUGCCUUUGCAGCCUACCCAGGUGUUCUCUAAACACUGUAAUUUCUUCUUUGUGGGUCGGUGGCCCAGCUGCAUCUUUCCCACGCACCUCGUGACCAUCUCCAGCACUGACCUCCAGCCACUAGGCUCACAAAGAGUUGUUUCAAAAGCACCUUUUUGUGGCAGGAUUCUGGGAUCGGAUCUAAGAAGCCAGUUAACUAAAGGUCUCUACAGCUGAGAUAAGGAUGAAGGACCAUCUUGGCACUAACUGAAGUCUGGAAGAUCGAAGAGUAUCCUACUGACAUCCUACCCUGUGAAAAAAAGUCCACACUGACAAAGGACGGAGUGUCAAUGCUAAUUCCCUAGAAGACUUGAUUAGAUAAACGGAUUCACGGAUACUUCUGGGCACUCAGCAAAUCAUUAGUGGGAUCCGGGGCUUUUAUACCACUUAUAAUACAACCAGAAGCUUGGAUAACAAUGUGUACCUGCCCAUGUGACUCAAAUACCAUUUCUCUCCACAGAAAAGACCAUGAGAAGUGACUUGGUGGAGAAAGUGUUUAAUUUUCAAAGCUUCAGAAUUUUAACAUGUUAUAUGCUUUCAAGACGCACAACAGUAGAAAACAUAUCUGAAGUUGGCUGUACAAAUUGCCCUAGAUUUUUGAAGCUUUCUGCUUCCCUUUCUCAGAGGGGGUACAUAGCACUAAGGCAUGCAAGAAUACUGACACAGUAGAUCCAUCUGCUACCAGAGAAGAAGGGCAAGGGUGCACAGAAAAACACCCCAACUCUCUCCCUGCCUGGGGGACAGUUCUGAGAUGUGCCCUUAAAGGUUUUCAGAGAUAAGAUCGGAGUUACCCACAGUGUUAUCCUGCUCAUUAAUAAAUCUUACGCUGUUUUAUUUUUUUUUCCUUUCUUGCCUCACUUACCAGACCCAUUACUAUAUUUCCCGAUAUUAUCUCACAAAUAAGUAACCUACAUCCAAAUCCUUACUUGGAAUUAGCUUUGGGGAGCAAAUCAUAAUGGAAAAAAAAUCCAAGACUGUAUUUCAGAAGUUGUAUGUGCAUUACUCAUAGACCUCCCGUGAGAGUGACCUCUGAAAUGUUAAGAAUCAGCACUCGACUUUCUGACUGUUUGGAAAAUUCCUAUGCCAUUGCUCCAGGCCUUCCACGGACCAGGAGAAACUGGUCGAUUGCCUGGCAGAGAGUAGAUUGCAGCAAAGACUUGGAAAAACAUGGUAGGGCUUAGAAAACAUUGCUGACCGGUGUAUGUGUGUGGGGGUGGGGGUGGGGGGGGGUGUUCAAUACACCCAGGUUAGACAGUCCAUCUCUCUGGGGGCCUAGGUCAGACAAGGAGGUUGGAUCUUGCUGCUUUUAUGGACAACUUCAACCUGGCUGGCACAAGUGUGUAGCAAUUGCUUGAGAUCACUGGAGCGUGGAGACAAGGCACGAAGCACAGAUAAACGAAGAGGAAAGCAAGAGUUUGCAAAGCUGCUACAGAAAGCUGGAAGAAGCACAGGCUAAGUCGGAGAAACCCAGUCCCUGCUGCUGGAUCCAACGCGAAGAAGCCGCUUCCAGCCACUGGAGGACCUCAGGCUGUCCAAGAGAACAGACUGGGAACUCUUACUGGGAAAUAUAAAUUGAAGGAACCAAACUAGGAAGGCAGGCCCACAGGUAGAGCAGUUGGAUAUUCUCAGCCCAGUGGUUAAAACUAGCAGCGAAAGGAACUGACAUGGAGAAGGCUCAGAAAGCUGAGAAUACACACAAGUGACUGAGC
rnacentral:lncRNA from 1 species